AGGUGCAAUCAUACCAGCGUUAAUGCGUUGUAUCCCAUUAGAACUCCACAAUUAAGCGUGCUUGGGCCAGAGUAGUACCGGGAUGGCUGACCUCUCGGGAAGUCCUAGUGUUGCACCCU
rfam:Picea glauca, whole genome shotgun sequence.